CUCUCUUCCAUCUCUUGGUUCAUCAUCCUGCAUAAUUUAAGGUACCCUUUUCAGGUUUUUGGCUAAUUGUUAUGAUGUUCAUCAUCAUGCACUAUACAAGGUUGUUUCAUUAUACUUUUGUUGUUCUUCUGCUUCUUAAUUUUGUUUCAUAAGACUAGUGCAUGUUUGGAUUAACGAUUGACUGAAUUAGAGUGUGUUACCGUUGUUUUGACAAAAAUUGAAUUUGAAGUUUCAACAAAUUAAAAUUACGGUGUCACUGUAAUUUUGUCAAAAUUUAUUGCUAAUUUAAGCAAUGAAUCCUCUUUGGUUGAUUUUUGGCUAUUUUGUUACAGUUUGUGUGUUUCUUCAUCAUGAUGCACUAUACAAGGUUGUUGCAUUACUCUAAAUUGUUGUGCUUCUUUUUUUUUAUUUUUUAUGUAUGGUUAUUUUAUCAACUAACAUUUCUUUUUUAACCUUUUUAAGCUAUGAGUGUAUGUUUAGUUUUAUGGUGAGUUUGACCAAAUUACGAUAUAUACCACUGUGAUUUUGAUAAAAUUAGACUCUCAAGCUUCACCUUGGCUUCAAUCAUUGACCAUGAAGAAGAAGAAAGUGGCAGAAAUGGAAUGUCACAAGCCAAUGGUUGUCAAGUUUAUUGCAAGAUCCUUUUUCUCUCUUUUGAUUUAGUACUUCAAAAGUUUCCACUUUUUCACUGUAUUUCAAAUAAUUGGUAGCACCAUUUAUGUUGCACUUCUCAGGUAAAAGCAGAAGAUCUAGUUAUAUGAUUCUCAUUGUGAACAAUUAAUUAAUUCUU
rnacentral:lncRNA from 1 species